rnacentral:lncRNA from 1 species
CUCUUAUAUCCAAUACUUUUACAUGAAAAUAAAAAAAAGUAGCGUUCUUUAGAUAACAAAGAAAUACAAUCUAUCACAUCAAAAUAAAUACUGCCCCAAUUAAGUCAUUAAUUACAAAUAAACACAGUGUCUGGUGGGGACAGUCCAAAUGUGCACAAGUAAUUUCUAAAAUUUCAACAAAAUAAGCAAAGAGAACAGAAAAUUAUAAAAUAUUUUAGGCUGAAGAAAUUGCCUUCUCACCAUCCCUCCACGGACAGAAUCGCAGUAACGCUUCUCCCAUUGCAUAAAUUCCCAAUCAUCCAGCGGUCUUCCUUUGAUUAACUUGUUCACCUCAACAUGCUGCAACAUACAAAUACAAUAACAUAAAAUCAUUCAUCCACCAAAAGAGUCGGGAUUGUUACGCCUAUAAAUUGUCACUCCAUAU